rnacentral:rRNA from 1 species
GACAUAGGUGGCGAACGUUAUCCGGUUUUAUUGGGCGUAAAGGGUGCGUAGGUGGUGAGAUAAGUUAGCGGUGGUAAAUCGAGGCUCAACCUCGUGGAAGCCGGUAAUACUGUUUCACUAGAGGGCAGGAGAGGUUGACGGAACUCUAUGUGUAGGGGUAAAAAUCCGAAAGAUAAUAUAGAAGAAACAUCAAAAAGGCGAAAGGCAGUUUAAACUAUUCUGUUCCUGACAUUUGAGG